CAAAUAUUUUUUUCAAGUUCCCACUGUCUGUACUCCUACGUACUCUUAUUAUUUAUUAAAUUAGUUUAUACUCAAAAAUUUGGAAUCACAUGACUAUUUUAGUCAUUUUAUAUAAUAUUUUAGUCCUGUCCAUGUGUAUCCAAACAUAAUACUAGACAUUACAUUAGUGUCCUAUCCAUCGUAUCCAAACACGAUACACAAAACAUAAUUUUUAAUGUCUCUGUCCUAUUGUCUUUGUCUCAGUGUUCUGUUCUGUCGUGUCUCUACAAACAAACGCUACCUUAAAAAACCAUCAAGUUGUUGGAUAAUCAUGGUGCAGUAACCCAAUAAUGCAUGAUUCAGCCCAAGAAAAAAACUGUGUGUAAAGUUAAGAGAGAACUGAAACCAUCCAACAACCCACCAAAAACACCAAGCAAAAACUUUGUCAAGGCUUGUUUUUCUUUUUGGUGAACAUUAUCACUUUUAUUUUUUGUUCUCCUAUUUUUAAUGAAGACAAAGAAGCCCAACAAGACCUGAAGAUGAAAUUUUAUUUGACAAAAGAUUGUAUUAUCAGCGUUUAGACCCAACAAAACAAAGGAUUACAGGGUUGCAUUGUAUUAGUACUUACGUAGUUACGUAGAUAAUUUCCCUUCAUCUUUCGUUAAAGUUAAAAAAAUCAGGGCCUCUUGUUUUUUCUUUUUUUCUCCUUCCGGGAAGCACGUGAAUUAGAAAUUGGAGCCGUGUUUAACGAGGACUCUAGAUAGUAACCCAUAUGCCAUCGUGUAAAUGACGCAAUUCAACUUUCUAGUUCUAGGCGUAAAGAUCACGCAGCUUUGAAUUGUUCUUUUGGCCAGCUUAUCUUUGCCGUCUAUCGGUCUAUGUAUGUUGGGGUAAACACUAGAACGAUAAACAUAGACACCGCCAUUGUCCCCACUAUUUCCCAAAAAUACCCCUCAUUAUUAUUAUUAUUAUUUUCAAAAGCGACACGUCACUGACAGCGCUACCCCACCCGAUAAAUAAAUGAACCGCACCUAACUUUCCACGCCUCACAAUCUCCUACCGUCAAUACAAUCAAAUCUCAACCGUCAGAUCUACACAGCCCUAUUAUAUAAGAUAGGUUUGGGUUUCCUCCUUUAUGUCAUUCAUCUCCGGCUUCCCCUGAUCCUUAUCCUUGUCUUUUAGAUUAGGUCAGAUCUUGUUCACGCGUUUUCUCUGAUACACCUAUUCUCCAUAGAUCUGUAUGGAUCCGAUCCAGAGCUACACGCCGAUGGUGCUUUUGUUCGGGUUCUACAAGGAUCUGACGCUCGUUGCCUCAGAUCUAACGUUCAGAGGUGCGCGCUUCACGUUCGUCUUGCUUUUGGAAUCUGUUUCGUAGCAAGUCCUUUGUUCAUGGGUUUAUCGAGGCUCUUGAGGUGUUGUAUUUUGCAGGUACGGCAGAGAAUCGGUUAUCGGAUGGACACAGCGUAGAUCCAUAGAGAAACCAAUCUGUUGCCGCUUUUCCCUAGUUGAUAUCUCCGUCUCCAGAUCUACCAUGAUCGAUUGCAGCGAAGCUCGUUCUGGCGAAGAACUCCGUAACCUAUGUUGCAGAUCUCAGAAAUUGUAAAAGAAAAUUAGUGUAUGCUUUGAAGUUAAAGAGGAGGACGAGUGUGUGUGGAUGUAGAUUACGGGAUGAAGAACCUCAAUAACGCUGAGCGGGUUUGAGGUUUGGAAUCCUGAGUGAUCUUGUCAUCCGACCUUUGCCAUGACAGGUGCGCUUGCAUGGCAGGUCAAACAAAGUUAAUAAAAAAAGAAUUUAUUUGGUUUUGGGGGGUGAAUCGCACGGGAGUUGCCCGGGGUCACCCCCUUGUGUGUGGUGUGUGCUUCCUUUUCGUUCUGCUCCCUUUUUAUUACCUAUCUGUUGCUCUUUCAACACCGGACGGGAUGGAAACACCAGCGGAUACGCAUGCUCGUACGCUCCAAUAAUUGAGGUAUCAUCUUAACAGUUAUUCGCAUUAGAUCAUUAUAUACUUACGUAUGCACCGUUAAAAUUCGAUGGAAAACUAAUUUCUAAUAACAUCCCCACCCUAAAAGGAGCUGGUAAAUUAAAUAAGAAGUAUCAAGUAGUUUUUAUCGGUAGUUUUUUGGUAUAUGGGAUAUAUAUGCUUUUUAUAAUUUACCUAAUAUACAUGGAAGCAACAUCAUUAUGCAAAUUCUAACACCUUGAUCUUUUAUUAAUAUUUUGAAUGAAAACAGCUCGUUAGUUAUCGCUUGUUCCUCAGUUAGUUUAUAGUACAAUCUUUUUUUUUCAGAGUUUAUAGCUCAUAGUACAAUCUUCGUUUUUUUAUAGCUCAUAGUACAAUCUUCGUUUUUUUAAUUUUAUAUUAACAACGGAAAUGUGCACCAACAGUUUUGUAAUUUGGUAUUAAUUUCAUUCAUACUCAUCGAGCUAUUAAUAUAGGGGUAGUUAUGCAUUUUAUAGCUCUACUACGGGUUUAUGUAACUAUGAUGUACUUCAAUGGAAAGGAAGAAAACACUGGCUGUAAAAAGUUUGUAGUUUAGAAACAUGUUCUCUUUGAAGCCGAUGUUGUCAGGAAUAUUGCUCGAGGAAAUCUGGUGUUGAGGAGGGAUGUAGCAUUAACAUUUUCGAGUUGUUGCAACCCGGCUGCUUGACGAUUUUGAAGUCUUAAAGAAACUAGUCAACAUUGGCAGUGGACCGAAGCUUCCACAUGAUGAUUUUAGUAUGGUUUUCUAGUCUUUCAUCAAUAUAUUAAGGUGAAGAUUCUUUCAAUUUCAGUACGUUUCAUGUUCUAUGUUUAUAAUAUUUUACUCGUCUAACGAAUUACAUAUUUAGUUUAGCUGGAAAACUGUAAUGUUUACCGAAGCACGCCUUAAACCCCCACCCUCCCCUAUUCUUUUUUCCUUUGUUUCUUUACACAGUAAAUCCUUUGGUAGUUGAUGCCGUUUUGUUGCAUUUUCAUAUUCAGUAGAUCCUUUUUUAAAUGAAGCAAUGCUAGUUCUUGUUGGUGAAUUGUGGUGAUUCUCUCAUUUCGAGGGUUAACCAGUUCUCAUUCAAAUGAUAGUUUUUGUUAGCUAUGCAUUGUGCUAGGAUAGAAAUGUGUUGUUUGGGAUAAGUGAAUUUUGAACCGAUGAAUUAGAUUCUCUCUUUUCAUGCCUUUGCUAUGUAUUUGUAUGUUUGGGACUACCAGUUAAAUACUCAUAAUUACGCGGGUAAUUUGAAGUGUACAACUUAUCUGACGUUACAUGCAAAACAUAUAUUGGAUCUAGCCUUUUUCGAAUGCUGGAUAUUAGUUUUGGAUACGGCUGGUGCCACUUACGCAACAUCUAGUGAUGUUCGUGGAAUGUGGUGAUAAUUUCCGUGAGAUGUUUCUUCUGGAGGAUGGCUUUUUGUGAUUCUGAAAUUCAGCUUUUCUGCUAAGGGUCUUGGAUAUUUUUAAGUAUAUUACGAUGGCUUCUUGAUUUUUCAAAUGCAGACAAGAAUGUCACUAAUUUUUGGUGCGACAUGUAUAUAGUUUUUUAGAAAUUGGAUAUUAAUCUGGUUUGUUU